AAAUAACGAUUAAUCAGAUGGUUCUAGCAGCAUCCGGAUUCUCCGGAAUUGCACACGGGAACUGCCUCCUCUGCUCCCCAAACUUGGUGCAGCCCGAAUGGAAGAACCGGGUCGCUGCUCCGACCCCCACCUUUGGACUGCGCGAUGUAGAUGAGCCGGCUGAAGAUCUUGCGCAUGCGCGGCUUCAGGGCGAAGUUCUUGGCGCCCCCGGUCACGGAAAUGACCAGGUUGGGUGUUUUCAGGUGCCAGUGCUGGGUCAGCAGCUCGUAGAGGAUUUCUGCGUCCGUGUCGCAGGACAGACGGAUAUACUAUGGGGGGAGGAGCAGAAGCAUCGAGAUAAGCCUGUGUUCUCCUGAGGUCGGGGUUUAGCAUCCGCGCCAACACCCCGCCCACGCUUGCCUGCUUCUAGAAGAGGGGCGGGGUGGGGGCAGCAGGGAUCGUGGCACUGGGAGUCCCAGGCGGGGGCCAUGCCAAGGACCCACGAGGAAUGGAAGUGUGAAAGGAAAAUAAAUCUUGGGGCCCGAAAAUUCAAGCUAGGAAUUGCUUGGGACAAACCUGCCUCCCACUCUAUUCAAAGUCACCCCUCAGCUCGCAGAGAUGAAUGCAGAUCUCAUUCCCUCCUUUGGAGAGGCUAAUCAGAAACUCAGAAGAAUGCAACCGUUUGUCUCUCGUCUACUUAUGACCCGGAAGCCCCCUCCCGUUUCGAGUUGUCCCGCCUUUGCCUGAUUUUGUGAACUUUCCUCAUACCAACUAAAUGCAGUAUUGAGCCAGGCAAGAGGGCAUCACAGAGAGGAUGGAAGCGGGAAGCGGGUCUUUCUUGCUGCUGCCAGCCCUGCAAUGAGAGUGAGGUGCCUGCCUCCCCUGCCGAUGGUGAGCCUCCACCAUAUGUUCCCAAUAGUGUUUUCCAGUGUGUGGCUUUUGCCCACCUGCACCAGCAUUUCCGGGAGCACAGGCUGGAAAUGAAGCUCCAGGGCCCACCCUAGACCGUUGAACUAGGAUCUCUUGGUGGGUCUGAAGAACAUGGCAAUUCUCCAGUUGAGAAGAAGUGCUGUUAGAAGAAAUGCUGUCACCCAACAGGAACAAGGUAAAAACACAGCCUGCUGGGUGGGGGUGAAUGUGCUGUGCUGGGAUCGAAGGAGAACAGGCAGGAACUUGGCAAAGACACAGAGAAGUGGUCACACCACCGGGGGGAGGCUCUUGGAUUUCAUCUCCAAGGCUCAUUGCCUGGUGUUGUCUACACAAGGAGGGCGAGAAGGAAAAAAAUAAAAGGUCAAUACAAGCAAUUUUGCCCAGAGCUUGGGCUCCUUCUGCACCAUACUGGCUCUGAGCUACUGAGAUCCCUUGGGUUACAGGAGAGCUUUCCUAGCAACUUGUGUCCUCAAAGAAUCCCUCUAAAAAGCAGUGAAUUGCCUGUUCACAUCCAGAGAAUGGGCAACCCCAGGGCCCAGUAGCCCCCAUGCCUCCAGCCACACAGCUUGGGGCCACACAGCUCCUUCAGACUCUGGUCUCUCUGUGUCUCUUCUGGCCUCAAGCAAGAAGUUCUUUCUCCAGUCCUGAGUUCAAGGUUCAAUGGCCAGAUGGCCAUUGGCCUCAGGUUGGAUUGUCCUUGGCCCUUUAUUUAAGCUUCACAUCUUCCCAGAUCCCCUGUGGGUGACCUCACGAGGCAUCUAUCGAGCUCCAUGCCUCUUUAGAGAUUAAGUUUGUAUUGAAUAAAUUGGGAAUGUGAAAAUAUCAGUACCAGCCCCAGGGAACUAUCCUUCUACCAAUGCUAUAAACUUAAAGAACUGUCCAUGAGCCUGAGUAAUAAAACGUGACAUUUUAAUGGGUAUAUGAAGGGGACAGAUGCUUUUAUUCUAUUAUAAUGGCUGUAAUUUUAAUGAGUUUUUCACAAUUUGCUUUAUUCAAGUGAGGGUUUUUAUAAGAUUGUCCCAAUUCUUAUUCUCUUGUUCGAUCUCAACCAACGUGAUUUACUCUUUUCUAACUAUAAAUGAAUCCUACUAUUGUAUUUACAUAAAUGUCUUUAUCAUCAUUGUUCUUUCUUUUUAACCUGAUAUAGUUGCCAUUCUGAACUCUAUCUUAAAGGAAUUAUUUUCAUCCUUUCAUUAAAUGUGAAAGAAAGCUGAUUUUCUUUUGCCCACUGCCAUCUUUCUCCAAGGAAGAGAAUGGAACAUGAAUGGGGCCUUGCAGUAAUAACCACAGAUCUCAGUUUCUAUUCUGACAUGAUUAGUUACUGUAGGAAAAACACCUCUUUUCUCAGUUAUCCAGAAGACAUUCAGGGGAAUACCAUUUUUGUACUUAAGCAUAUUAAGGAAACUGCACAGAACAGACUCAAUUGUGGUGAAUGUUAAGGUGCAUAUCCCAAUGGCCUCACUAUAUAAGAAUUAACAUCUUGCUCAAAGGAUUAAGCAAUUGGCAUCUUAGUGGGUCACUGACGGAACCAGGGCAGAGUUUUGGCUCUCUCUGAUGUGUUGUAUAAUGUAAGUUACCAAGCCCUACAUUGAUGAGUCUUUCUGAUGUCACAGCUUUUGUGACACUGCUUCAGGCACGGUACUACAGUAGUGAACAUGGCAGAUCACACCCCUUCCCCAGGGAGCCCACAUCCCAGACAGGGGGACAGAAAAACAGCAAACAAAAAUGCCAGUAGUGCCAAGUAAUAUAAAAAAUAAAACAGGGGAAAGGAAUAGACAGCGGCAGGAUGGGUUUUUUUUCAGAUCUACGGUCCAAAGAAGUCUUUCUGCAGAGGCAGGAGGCCUAGAGGAGAGCAGCAAGAAGAGCAGAGCUGAGUCAAGACACCCAGGGGACAAAGCAGGAGCUUUCGACUCUUUCAUGGUCGUGAGGAGCUUUCCUCAGUCAUCCCAGGUGCAAGGGGCCACGUGAAGCUUUUCAGCGAACUUUCUAUCAGGUAUCCAAGUUGCUUCGCAUGCAAGAACCCACACUAGAACUUGGAACAAGAAUAAACAGUAGGUGAUACAGGCAGAAAUAGAGAUGGAGACAGAAAUGGAGUCAGAGACAGAGAUGGAGAUGAGAAUGGAGGUGGAGAUGGAGUUGGGGAUGGAGAGAGAGAAUAGAGAUGUCAAUUAACAAAGACCAAGAAUAACACAGACUCCGAGACCAAAGGAUUUGAUGUCCACCUACAUAAAUGUAAACAAUGACAA